GACGAACGCUGGCGGCGUGCUUAAUACAUGCAAGUCGAACGGAAAGGCCCUGCUUUUGUGGGGUGCUCGAGUGGCGAACGGGUGAGUAACACGUGAGUAACCUGCCCUUGACUUUGGGAUAACUUCAGGAAACUGGGGCUAAUACCGGAUAGGAGCUCCUGCUGCAUGGUGGGGGUUGGAAAGUUUCGGCGGUUGGGGAUGGACUCGCGGCUUAUGCGCUUGAUGGUGGGGUAGUGGCUUACCAAGGCUUUGACGGGUAGCCGGCCUGAGAGGGGGACCGGGCACAUUGCGACUAAGAGAGGGCGCAGUAGCGUACGGGAGGCAGCAGUGGGGAAUAUUGCGGAAUGGGGGGGAGCCUGAUGCGGCGACGCCGCGUGCGGGAUGACCGCCUACGGGUGGUAAACCGCUGUCGCAGGUGACGAAGCGUGAGUGACGGUAAUGGGUAAGGAAGCACCGGCUAACUACGUG
rnacentral:rRNA from 1 species